GAGUAAGGGCGACUGAAAUGUCACAAGCUCAGCAUGUGAAUCAGCGUUUAUUUUCAUAAAUGCUGAAUUGUGGUCUUACGAUUCUUGCAACACUUAGUCCAGUCCAUGUUUUUUGGAAUAAAAUAGCAAAGAGGGUGAAACUCCUGUUUGUCUGGACUUGCGAAGCAAAAAUCACUGAGUCGAGUUGUUUGGGAUUGCAGCUCAAAUGCGGUGGUAAAUUCCAUCUCAAGCUAAAUACUGGCAGGAAACCGAUAUCGAAAAAGUACCGUGAGGGAAAGAUGAAAAGAACUUUGAAAAGAGAGUGAAAGAGUACCUGAAAUUGCUGAAAAGGAAGCGAACGAAGCUAGUGAUCGCUGAGUCAUACUUUCCACAUUGCUUGCAAUUUGGACGCUGUGGCCGGCCGAGUCCGACUUGAUUGUAAGUUGUGAAAACAGGCAAAGAAAAGGUUUUUUCUUUUGCCUCAUGCAUGAAUUGCAAUUGAGUUGAACAAAAUAGAUUUGUUUGCCCCGUCUAGAAACACGGACCAAGGAGUCUAACAUAUGUGCGAGUACUGGGGUGCACAACCUCGGUGCGGAAUGAAAGUGUCAGAGGCUAGAAUGAAUUUU
rnacentral:rRNA from 1 species